rnacentral:rRNA from 1 species
UUCGGAUUGCAGCCUGCAACUCGGCUGCAUGAAGCCGGAAUCGCUAGUAAUCGCGGAUCAGAAUGCCGCGGUGAAUACGUUCCCGGGCCUUGUACACACCGCCCGUCACACCAUGGGAGUCGGUAACACCCGAAGUCGGUAGCCUAACCGUAAGGAGGGCGCCGCCGAAGGUGGGAUUGAUGACUGGGGUGAAGUCGUAACAAGGUACC